AUUGAACGCUGGCGGCAGGCCUAACACAUGCAAGUCGAACGAGUGGCGGACGGGUGAGUAAUGUAUGGGAAAGUGACUGAUGGAGAGGGAUAACUAAUGGGAACGGUAGCCAAUACCGCCUACCAGAGGAUGUGCCCAGAUAGGAUUAGCUAGUGGGGGGGGUAAAGGCUGACCUAGACGACGAUCCCUAGCUGGUCUGAGAGGAUGACCAGUCACACUGGAACUGAGACACGGUCCAGACUCCUACGGGAGGCAGCAGUGGGGAAUAUUGCACAAUGGGCGCAAGCCUGAUGCAGCCAUGCCGCGUGUAUGAAGAAGGCCUUCGGGUUGUAAAGUACUUUCAGCUGGGAGGCGUUACCCGCAGAAGAAGCACCGGCUAACUCCGUGCCAGCAGCCGCGGUAAUAC
rnacentral:rRNA from 1 species